rnacentral:rRNA from 1 species
ACGGGUGAGUAAUGUCUGGGGAUCUGCCUGAUGGAGGGGGAUAACUACUGGAAACGGUAGCUAAUACCGCAUAACGUCGCAAGACCAAAGAGGGGGACCUUCGGGCCUCUUGCCAUCAGAUGAACCCAGAUGGGAUUAGCUAGUAGGUGGGGUAAUGGCUCACCUAGGCGACGAUCCCUAGCUGGUCUGAGAGGAUGACCAGCCACACUGGAACUGAGACACGGUCCAGACUCCUACGGGAGGCAGCAGUGGGGAAUAUUGCACAAUGGGCGCAAGCCUGAUGCAGCCAUGCCGCGUGUAUGAAGAAGGCCUUCGGGUUGUAAAGUACUUUCAGCGAGGAGGAAGGCGUUAAGGUUAAUAACCUUAGCGAUUGACGUUACUCGCAGAAGAAGCACCGGCUAACUCCGUGCCAGCAGCCGCGGUAAUACGGAGGGUGCAAGCGUUAAUCGGAAUUACUGGGCGUAAAGCGCACGCAGGCGGUUUGUUAAGUCGGAUGUGAAAUCCCCGGGCUCAACCUGGGAACUGCAUUCGAAACUGGCAAGCUUGAGUCUUGUAGAGGGGGGUAGAAUUCCAGGU